UACAGAGGGGGCAAGCGUUGUUCGGAAUUACUGGGCGUAAAGGGCGCGCAGGCGGCCUUCUAAGUCGAACGUGAAAUCCCCGGGCUCAACCUGGGAACUGCGUCCGAUACUGGAAGGCUUGAAUCCGGGAGAGGGAUGCGGAAUUCCAGGUGUAGCGGUGAAAUGCGUAGAUAUGUGGAAGAACACCUGUGGCGAAAGCGGUUUUCUAGCUUAUACCUGACGCUGAGGCGCGAGAGCAAGGGGAGCAAACAGG
rnacentral:rRNA from 1 species